rnacentral:rRNA from 1 species
UACGGGGGGAGCGAGCGUUGUUCGGAAUCACUGGGCGUAAAGGGCGCGUAGGCGGCUGAAUAAGUCAGAGGUGAAAUCCCAGGGCUUAACCUUGGAAUUGCCUUUGAUACUGCUCGGCUAGAGGACGGAAGAGGAUAGUGGAAUUCCUGGUGUAGCGGUGAAAUGCGUAGAUAUCAGGAAGAACACCGGUGGCGAAGGCGGCUAUCUGGUCCGUUACUGACGCUGAGGCGCGAAAGCCAGGGGAGCAAACGGG